rnacentral:ncRNA from 1 species
UGCCCAGUGCUCUGAAUGUCAACGUGAAGAAAUUCAAGCAAGCGCGGGUAAACGGCGGGAGUAACUAUGACUCUCUUAAGGUAGCCAAAUGCCGCGCCGCUGUGGCGGUACGGGAUCGCGUGGAACCCGUAGCAUAAAUUCCU